AAAACAACAAUGACGGAGAGGAACUGCAGACGUGAUUCUUCAGAGAGCCGGUGGUCGCUGCGAACCGGUGAAUCCCCUGCCGUUUGAGCGCUCCUGAGUUGUCAGGCUGAACCGAAAGAAGUAGGUCUGAACGGAUGCUCCGUUACAAGCUGCGGUUCUCGUGUAUAGAACCGGUCGAGGCUGCUGUUGCGAGACAGUAGCGAAUGAGGGUGGUACCGCGAAACAAAGCCUUUCGUCCCUCAC
rnacentral:ncRNA from 1 species